rnacentral:rRNA from 1 species
GAUUUCUGGCUUGCAACCUUUGGCCGGCCACGGUUUCGUGUGUUAGUGCUUGGGGUUCUGGCCAUCCUUCCACUCGCUGCUUGCCUUUCUUCAUUGAUGGGUGGGUGGUGGUGGAUCGUUUACUUUGAAAAAAUUAGAGUGUUUCAAGCAGGCUUAAUGCUAUGAAUACAUUAGCAUGGAAUAAUAAUUUAGGACUUCGGUUCUAUUUUGUUGGUUUCUAGGACUGAAGUAAUGAUUGAUAGGGAUAGUUGGGGGUGCUAGUAUUCAGCGGCCAGAGGUGAAAUUCUCGGAUUCGCUGAAGACUAACUUAUGCGAAAGCAUU